AUUGAACGCUGGCGGCAUGCUUUACACAUGCAAGUCGAACGGUAACAGGCCUUCGGGCGCUGACGAGUGGCGAACGGGUGAGUAAUGCAUCGGAACGUGCCCAGUCGUGGGGGAUAACGCAGCGAAAGCUGCGCUAAUACCGCAUACGAUCUAUGGAUGAAAGCGGGGGACCGUAAGGCCUCGCGCGAUUGGAGCGGACGAUGUCAGAUUAGGUAGUUGGUGGGGUAAAGGCUCACCAAGCCAACGAUCUGUAGCUGGUCUGAGAGGACGACCAGCCACACUGGGACUGAGACACGGCCCAGACUCCUACGGGAGGCUGCAGUCGAGGAUCUUUUGCAAUGCCCGAAAGGGUGACAAUGCGACGCCGCGUGUGCGAUGAAGGUUUUCGGAUCGUAAAGCACUGUCGACCGGGAUGAAUCUCCGGAGGCUUAAUAAGCUUUCAGGGUGACAGUACCGGUAGAGGAAGCCACGGCUAACUCCGUGCCAGCAGCCGCCGCAGUAA
rnacentral:rRNA from 1 species